GGGGCUUAGCUCAGUUGGUAGAGCAUCUGGUUUGCAACCAGAAGGUCAGCGGUUCGAACCCGCUACGC
rnacentral:tRNA from 1 species